GUCUCUUUGGGACAUCUGAUAAAAUUGAGACGUUACAUAAAAGAUUAGCAUAACUCCUGUGUAAAGAUGAAAUAUAAUGCACAAGUCCAGCAAUAAAGUAUA